rnacentral:sRNA from 1 species
GUGUUGCGUCCUUUUGGACGUUUCCUCCCUAGACUUCGGGCCACUCCCUUGGGGGUGGCCUCUUUUAUUCCCGUG